rnacentral:rRNA from 1 species
GUGGGAAACGAUGUGGGAAGGCCCAGACAGCCAGGAUGUUGGCUUAGAAGCAGCCAUCAUUUAAAGAAAGCGUAAUAGCUCACUGGUCGAGUCGGCCUGCGCGGAAGAUGUAACGGGGCUAAACCAUGCACCGAAGCUGCGGCAGCGACACUGUGUGUUGUUGGGUAGGGGAGCGUUCUGUAAGCCUGUGAAGGUGUACUGUGAGGUAUGCUGGAGGUAUCAGAAGUGCGAAUGCUGACAUAAGUAACGAUAAAGCGGGUGAAAAGCCCGCUCGCCGGAAGACCAAGGGUUCCUGUCCAACGUUAAUCGGGGCAGGGUGAGUCGACCCCUAAGGCGAGGCCGAAAGGCGUAGUCGAUGGGAAACAGGUUAAUAUUCCUGUACUUGGUGUUACUGCGAAGGGGGGACGGAGAAGGCUAUGUUGGCCGGGCGACGGUUGUCCCGGUUUAAGCGUGUAGGCUGGUUUUCCAGGCAAAUCCGGAAAAUCAAGGCUGAGGCGUGAUGACGAGGCACUACGGUGCUGAAGCAACAAAUGCCCUGCUUCCAGGAAAAGCCUCUAAGCAUCAGGUAACAUCAAAUCGUACCCCAAACCGACACAGGUGGUCAGGUAGAGAAUACCAAGGCGCUUGAGAGAACUCGGGUGAAGGAACUAGGCAAAAUGGUGCCGUAACUUCGGGAGAAGGCACGCUGAUAUGUAGGUGAAGUCCCUCGCGGAUGGAGCUGAAAUCAGUCGAAGAUACCAGCUGGCUGCAACUGUUUAUUAAAAACACAGCACUGUGCAAACACGAAAGUGGACGUAUACGGUGUGACGCCUGCCCGGUGCCGGAAGGUUAAUUGAUGGGGUCAGCGCAAGCGAAGCUCUUGAUCGAAGCCCCGGUAAACGGCGGCCGUAACUAUAACGGUCCUAAGGUAGCGAAAUUCCUUGUCGGGUAAGUUCCGACCUGCACGAAUGGCGUAAUGAUGGCCAGGCUGUCUCCACCCGAGACUCAGUGAAAUUGAACUCGCUGUGAAGAUGCAGUGUACCCGCGGCAAGACGGAAAGACCCCGUGAACCUUUACUAUAGCUUGACACUGAACAUUGAGCCUUGAUGUGUAGGAUAGGUGGGAGGCUUUGAAGUGUGGACGCCAGUCUGCAUGGAGCCGACCUUGAAAUACCACCCUUUAAUGUUUGAUGUUCUAACGUGGACCCGUGAUCCGGGUUGCGGACAGUGUCUGGUGGGUAGUUUGACUGGGGCGGUCUCCUCCUAAAGAGUAACGGAGGAGCACGAAGGUUGGCUAAUCCUGGUCGGACAUCAGGAGGUUAGUGCAAUGGCAUAAGCCAGCUUGACUGCGAGCGUGACGGCGCGAGCAGGUGCGAAAGCAGGUCAUAGUGAUCCGGUGGUUCUGAAUGGAAGGGCCAUCGCUCAACGGAUAAAAGGUACUCCGGGGAUAACAGGCUGAUACCGCCCAAGAGUUCAUAUCGACGGCGGUGUUUGGCACCUCGAUGUCGGCUCAUCACAUCCUGGGGCUGAAGUAGGUCCCAAGGGUAUGGCUGUUCGCCAUUUAAAGUGGUACGCGAGCUGGGUUUAGAACGUCGUGAGACAGUUCGGUCCCUAUCUGCCGUGGGCGCUGGAGAACUGAGGGGGGCUGCUCCUAGUACGAGAGGACCGGAGUGGACGCAUCACUGGUGUUCGGGUUGUCAUGCCAAUGGCACUGCCCGGUAGCUAAAUGCGGAAGAGAUAAGUGCUGAAAGCAUCUAAGCACGAAACUUGCCCCGAGAUGAGUUCUCCCUGACCCUUUAAGGGUCCUGAAGGAACGUUGAAGACGACGACGUUGAUAGGCCGGGUGUGUAAGCGCAGCGAUGCGUUGAGCUAACCGGUACUAAUGAACCGUGAGGCUUAACCUUACAACGCCGAAGGUGUUU